ensembl:lincRNA
UACUUGGGAGGCUGAGGCAGGAGAAUUACUUGAGCCCAGGAUGUCAAGGCUGUAGCGAAUCAUGCCACUGCACUCCAGCCUAGGCAAUAGAGCAAGGCCCUGCCUCAAUAAAUAAAGAAAGAAAGAAACUAAAAAAAAAUAUGUCUAUAUACAGACACACACACACACACACACACACAUAUUAUAUAUAUAUAAUUUAAUUUGGCUGGGUGUGGUGGCUCACGCCUGUAAUCCUAGCACUUUGGGAGGCCAAGGCAGGUGGAUUAUGAGGUCAGGAGUUCAAGACCAGCUNNNNNNNNNNNNNNNNNNNNNNNNNAGAAACCCUCAGGAUGGCUUGCACUGAAGCUAACCUGACAUGGUGAGUAGCCUGUCUUCAGCCAAUUCUACUGAUAAACUCUGUGAAAGUUAGAAGUAAAGUACAUGGUACCCUGUUUUACUUCCUUCACUAUGAUAGCUUUCUCUUUUCUAAGUUAAAUCUCUCUUACUGUUUUCCUUAUUGGUAUUUUAACGAGACUUCAAUUACAUUGACAUACAAUGUUGCAUCCAGUGUUUCAGAACUCCCUGGGGACUGGACCCAGGAAUAUAUGCUCUGGUCAAUGCAGCAGAGCCUUCAACAGAUCUUCCGACACCUGGAAAGCAUAAGGUCAAGCCUUAUGGAACAGGAUUUGCCUGAACCACAGGAUACAAUUUCUUCCUCUACCUCCUCUGUUCUUGGGUCUCAGAAGACUGUUCGAUGCUGUUGUGACUAUAAGAAAGCAAGACAUUCUACUGACCACAGCAUCUCCUUUAGAUCAUCAUGCAGUAACUCCAGUCUGUCUCAUCUUCCUGUCUUUUUUGAAGGAACAACUUGGGAAUAUCAGAGCCAUAGUUUACCUAUUUCCCACAAAAGGCGGUCAUCUGUGUUUGAGAACCAAGGCACAACCCUACCUCCUUUUCAGCUAUCAGAGCCCCAGAAAUCAAAAGUAACUCCUGUAGCACUGCUUCAAGGUAUGGAUUCUAUGGGGAUGAUUAACAAAUCACAUCCACAUACAGAAUCAGUAGGAAUGACUCCAACACCACAACAUCAAGCCAUAGAGUCAGUGAAGAUGAACACAUUAUUGAACCAUCAAGUCACAAAAUCAGAUAAGAUGAAUCUAAGGCCACAACGUGCAGUUAUGGAAACUGGGGAAAUGAUGCCAGGGCCACAGCAUAAAGUCAUGGAAUCAAUUGGCAUGACCUCAGGAUCACAAAGUCAAGUCAUGGAACAAGGAAAGACUAUUCCAGGGCCAAUAUGUCAAGGCACAAAAUCAUCGGAAGUGAUCUCAGCACCAUUACAUCAAGUCAUGGAUUAUGUGAAAGUAACUCCAGUAGCACUAUUACAAGCCAUGGAUUCCAUGGGGAUAAUUCCACCAGCACAGCCACAUGUUACAGAAGCUAGGGGUUUGACCCCAGGUUCACAGUUGCAGAAGGUAGAAGAUCACAGUGGUAGAAGAUCUGUUCAUCUAGUCCUACCACCAGAGUUUCAAGAUAUAAACACUGUGGAGUUGACACUAAGACCACCAAUGGAAGACACAAACUCUGCGGAGUUGGCCCCAAAGCUUCCAGGUGUAAAAUCUGUGGAGUUGACUCCAGGUUCAAGAAUUCAAGAUUUUAAAACUGAGGAGUUGGUCUCAGGUCCACAGCUGCACGAUAUGAAAGCUGUGAAAUUAAAAUCUGGGCUAAAGAUGCAAGGUGAGAAGUCUAUAGCUUUUGCACCAGCGCCAUUGCCUCAAGGGGUUAAAUCUAUGGAGAUGCUUCAAAGGCCUCAGCUACAAAGCAUGAAACCUGAGGAACCGACUUCAGUCCCACAAAUGCAAGAUAUGAAAUUUGAGGAGAUUACUCCAUGUUUAAAGCUUCAAAGUUUAAAAUCUAUAAAGGAGACUCAAGAUCCACAUUUGCAAUGUGUAAAAUCUGUAGCGUUUGCCCCAAGGCAGAAAAGACUGGUAGUACAAUCUGUGAAUGUAACCAGAGGACAAGAGUUUGAAGAAGUAAAACCUGUGGAUUUAACCCUUGAGUCGGAACAGGAUGGUCAGGUAUCUGUAAACUCACCAGAGCAGCAAUGUGUGAAUUUUGAGCAAGUAAAGAGAGGGUCUGAGUCAGAAGGUAUAAUGUCUUUGGAGUUAAUUCCAGAGUCAAAAUCUGAAGAUAUAAAAUCUGUAGACCUCAAGUCUGACCUACAGUCAAAAGGUAUAAAAUCAUCUGAAUUGACUCCAGAACCAAAUGUGCAAGAUGUAAACGCUAAAGAGUUAAAACAUGAACCACAGCUGCAAAGUCUGGACUCUCCCAAAUUGACUCCAGGACCACAGCUGCACCAAGCGAAACCCUUGGGCUCCACUGCAAAGCCACAGCUUCAACCUGUGAAAAUUGUGGAGUUAAACAAAGAGCCAGAGCUUGGAAGAAUGAAAUCUGUUCAGUGGAUAACAAGACCUGAGUUCCAAGGUGUAAAAUCUGUAGGAUUAAAUCUUGGGCCACAAUCUCGAAGUGUCAAACCUUCAAAGUUGAAACUUGCCAUGCACUUGGGAGAUAUGAUAGCAUCUAAAUUGGUUCUAGCAACAAAACUUCAAGGUGCAAAACCUAUGGAGUUUAACCUUGGGGCACAGUUGCAGUGUGUAAAAACCUCUGAGUUGUCUGCUGGACCACAACUACAAAAAGGGAAAAUUUUUGCAUCAGGCUCAAAGCCACAACUUCAAGGUUUGAAAACUGUGGAGUUAAACCAAGACUCACAGCUUGGAGGUGCAAAAUCUGUGCAGUGGAUACCAGGACCUGAGUUCCAAGAUGUAAAAACUGGAGGGCUGAAUCUUGUUUCACAAUCUCGAGGUGUCAAAUCUGCAGAGUUGAAAUCCUCCAUAGAGUCGGGAGAUGUAAAAUCAUCUGAAUUGAUUCUAGGGCCAAAAAUUCAAGGUGCAAAGCCUGUGGAGUUUAACUAUGGGCCACAGUUGCAAUUUGUGAAAACUCCUAAGUUGUCCCAAAGACCAUGGUUGCCGAAAAGGAAAAUUCUGGCAUCGACCUCAGAGCCACAGCUUCAAGGAGUAAAAUCUGUGCAGUUAAAUCAAGACUCACAGCUUGAAAGCGUGAAAUCUGUGCAGUGGGUACCAGUACCUGAGUUCCAAGGUAUGAAAUCUAUGCUAAAAUGUGGUUCACAGUCUCGAGCUGUCACACCUGUAGAAUUGAAACCUUCAAUACAAUUAAGAGAUGUCAAGUCAUCUGAGCUGACUCCAAGGCCAAAGCUCCAAAGUGUACCACCUUUGACAUCACUCCAGGAACAUCAGUUGCCAGGGUUCAAAACAAUUGAUUUGAAAUCUGGGUUACAGUUCAGAAGUGUGAAAUCCUGUGGCCCAAUUUCAACAUCAAAGCUCCAUGAUAUAAAAUCUAUGGCAUUCAGAUCUGGGCUUCAUUUGCAAGACGUGAAAUCUUCUGAGUUGACCCCAAGACCACAGCUGCACAAAGUGAAACCCUUAGAGGCAUAUCCAAGAACACGGCUGCAAGACGUGAAGUCUCUAGUGUUUACAAAAGAGCCACAGUUUUCAGGGGUGAAAUCUGGAGUAUUAAGCCAAGAGCUACAAUUGCAAAGUGAUAAAACUGCAGCGCUCCACUUCUUACUACACUUGAAAAGCACGAAAUCAUCAGAGUUGGCUCAUCAAACAAAGCUUCUAGGUAUGAAAUCUAAGGAGUUUAGCUCUGGGCCACAAUGGCAAUGUAUCAAAUCUUCUAAGGUGAACCCUAAGACAAAGUCCCAAGACAUGAAGUUUAUAGAGUUAAACCCCAGCUCACAGUUGAAAAAUAUCCCACAUUCUGAUUUGACCAUGAAGACCAAGAUUCAAGGUGUCAAAUCUACAGACUUCAAACCUGGGCCACAGUUGCAAGGGGUGAAACCUUCUGAGUCGAUAUCAAAGACAAAGCUUCAAGAAGUGAAAUUAGUGGAAUCCAACUCAGGCCCACAGUUGCAAGAUUUAAAAUCUUCUAGGUUGAUCAUGGGUAUAAAGCUUCAAGACAUUAAAUCUAUGAAUUUCAGUUCUGGACCACAUUUACAGAGUGUGAAAUCUUCUGAAAUGAUUCCAGGGGUGAAGCCUCAGGAUGUGAAAUCUGUAGACUUCAAACCUAGUCCAAAGUUACAAAGUGAGAACUCUGAUUUGACCCUGGGGAGGAAGUCUCCAGGUGUGAAAUCUGUAGAGCUGGAAUCAGGCCCACAGUUACAAGAUAUAAAAUCUGAUCUGAUCAUGGGUAUAAAGCUUCAAGAUGUAAAAUCACGCUUUCAAGAUAUAAAAUCUUCUGAGGUAAUCUCAGGGACAAGGCUUCAAAGUAUGAAAUCAAUGUAUUUCAAUUCUGGACAACAGAUACAAGGUGAAAAAUACUCUGAGUUGAUUCAAGGAACAAACUAUCAAGAUGUAAAAUCUGUAGAAUACAACCGUGCUCCGAAGUUACAAGGUGUGACAUCUUCUCAGUUAACCCUAGAGACAAAGCUUCAAGGUGGGGAUUCUGUGGAGUUCAAGUCAGGCCCACAGUGGCAAGAUAUGAAAUAUUGUAACUCAAUCAAGGGGACAGAGCUUCAAGAUGUAAAAUCUAAGGAGUUCAGUUCUGAAUCACAAUUGCAAGGCAUGAAAUCUUCUGAAGAGAUCCCAGGGCCUGAGCGAUGCCACUUUAUAAGACAAAGCUGGGUCUCCAAAAAUAAGUUGUAA